rnacentral:rRNA from 1 species
AGUGAAUAGAUACCCUGGUAGUCCACGCCGUAAACGAUGGAUACUAGCUGUUCGGAGCAAAUCUGAGUGGCUAAAGCGAAAGUGAUAAGUAUCCCACCUGGGGAGUACGCACGCAAGUGUGAAACUCAAAGGAAUUGACGGGGGCCCGCACAAGCGGUGGAGCAUGUGGUUUAAUUCGAUGAUACGCGAGGAACCUUACCAGGGCUUAAAUGUAGAUUGACAGGACUGGAAACAGUUUUUCUUCGGACAAUUUACAAGGUGCUGCAUGGUUGUCGUCAGCUCGUGCCGUGAGGUGUCAGGUUAAGUCCUAUAACGAGCGCAACCCCUGUCGUUAGUUGCCAGCGAGUCAUGUCGGGAACUCUAACGAGACUGCCAGUGUAAACCUGUGAGGAAGGUGGGGAUGACGUCAAAUCAUCACGGCCCUUACGUCCUGGGCCACACACGUGCUACAAUGGUAGGUACAGAGAGCAGCCACUGCGCGAGCAGGAGCGAAUCUACAAAACCUAUCUCAGUUCGGAUCGGA